GUCGAGCGCGCCCUUCGGGGUGAGCGGCGGACGGGUUAGUAACGCGUGGGAAUAUACCCUUUGGUACGGAAUAGCCUCUGGAAACGGAGAGUAAUACCGUAUGUGCCCUUCGGGGGAAAGAUUUAUCGCCAAAGGAUUAGCCCGCGUUAGAUUAGGUAGUUGGUGGGGUAAUGGCCUACCAAGCCUACGAUCUAUAGCUGGUUUUAGAGGAUGAUCAGCAACACUGGGACUGAGACACGGCCCAGACUCCUACGGGAGGCAGCAGUGGGGAAUCUUGGACAAUGGGGGCAACCCUGAUCCAGCCAUGCCGCGUGAGUGAUGAAGGCCUUAGGGUCGUAAAGCUCUUUCGCCUGUGAAGAUAAUGACGGUAGCAGGUAAAGAAACCCCGGCUAACUCCGUGCCAGCAGCCGCGGUAAUACGGAGGGGGUUAGCGUUGUUCGGAAUUACUGGGCGUAAAGCGCACGUAGGCGGAUCGGAAAGUUGGGGGUGAAAUCCCGGGGCUCAACCCCGGAACUGCCUCCAAAACUAUCGGUCUAGAGUUCGAGAGAGGUGAGUGGAAUUCCGAGUGUAGAGGUGAAAUUCGUAGAUAUUCGGAGGAACACCAGUGGCGAAGGCGGCUCACUGGCUCGAUACUGACGCUGAGGUGCGAAAGUGUGGGGAGCAAACAGGAUUAGAUACCCUGGUAGU
rnacentral:rRNA from 1 species